rnacentral:rRNA from 1 species
GGACUACUGGGGUUUCUAAUCCCGUUUGCUCCCCUAGCUUUCGCGCCUUAGCGUCAGUGUCGGUCCAGGAAGCCGCCUUCGCCACCGGUGUUCCUCCGGAUAUCUACGCAUUUCACCGCUACACCCGGAAUUCCGCUUCCCUCUCCCGAACUCAAGCCCCACAGUUUCCCGUGCAAUUCCCCAGUUGAGCCGGGGGAUUUCACACAGGACUUACAGGACCGCCUACGCGCCCUUUACGCCCAGUAAUUCCGAACAACGCUUGCCACCUCUGUAUUACCGCGGCUGCUGGCAC